rnacentral:tRNA from 1 species
CCAGCGGUGGCCGAACGGCUGAGGCGAGGGUCUGUAAAACCCUUUUAAGUAGGUUCAACUCCUACCCGCUGGA